rnacentral:rRNA from 1 species
AAUAGAUACCCCGGUAGUCCACGCCGUAAACGUUGGGCGCUAGGUGUGGGGCUCAUUCCACGAGUUCCGUGCCGCAGCUAACGCAUUAAGCGCCCCGCCUGGGGAGUACGGCCGCAAGGCUAAAACUCAAAGGAAUUGACGGGGGCCCGCACAAGCGGCGGAGCAUGUUGCUUAAUUCGAUGCAACGCGAAGAACCUUACCUAGGCUUGACAUGCACGGAAAUCUCGCAGAGAUGUGGGGUCCGUAAGGGCCGUGCACAGGUGGUGCCUGGUUGUCGUCAGCUCGUGUCGUGAGAUGUUGGGUUAAGUCCCGCGACGAGCGCAACCCUCGUUCCAUGUUGCCAGCACGUGAUGGUGGGGACUCAUGGGAGACUGCCGGGGUCAACUCGGAGGAAGGUGGGGACGACGUCAAAUCAUCAUGCCCCUUAUGUCUUGGGCUUCACGCAUGCUACAAUGGCCGGUACAAAGGGUUGCGAUACUGUGAGGUGGAGCUAAUCCCAAAAAGCCGGUCUCAGUUCGGAUUGGGGU